CUAAGGAUGCGCGAGGAGAAGAUGGAGAUGAAGAAACGUCACCAUGAGGAAAGACUCAAAAUGGCUAUAGAGAGGUCGACUAGCGACAGCAAGAAACAGACUGGACGCAAGCUGAUGCCUCGAUCUGAGCCGUCAGAGGUCAAGAAGAACAAAGUAUAUGUCAUGAGCUCAAAGGAGCAGGAAGAUGCUUUGUACUUCUUCACUUGAUCACAAUCACACCACAAUACAGAAGUCAUGCAUUAGCCUACAAGUAUCUUAAUUCAAUUUGUUCAAUAAUAACUUCAUAUAUAUUACGAAAACAUUUGUAUCCUUGUGUUUCAAAUAAAAAUACAGUAAUAUGACAAA